rnacentral:rRNA from 1 species
UUAAGCAUAUCAAUAAGCGGAGGAAAAGAAACCAACAGGGAUUGCCCUAGUAACGGCGAGUGAAGCGGCAACAGCUCAAAUUUGAAAUCUGGCUUCGGCCCGAGUUGUAAUUUGCAGAGGAAGCUUUAGGCGCGGCACCUUCUGAGUCCCCUGGAACGGGGCGCCAUAGAGGGUGAGAGCCCCGUAUAGUUGGAUGCCUAGCCUGUGUAAAGCUCCUUCGACGAGUCGAGUAGUUUGGGAAUGCUGCUCAAAAUGGGAGGUAAAUUUCUUCUAAAGCUAAAUACCGGCCAGAGACCGAUAGCGCACAAGUAGAGUGAUCGAAAGAUGAAAAGCACUUUGAAAAGAGGGUUAAAUAGCACGUGAAAUUGUUGAAAGGGAAGCGCUUGUGACCAGACUUGCGCCGGGCGGAUCAUCCGGUGUUCUCACCGGUGCACUCCGCCCGGCUCAGGCCAGCAUCGGUUCUCGCGGGGGGAUAAAGGUCCUGGGAACGUAGCUCCUCCGGGAGUGUUAUAGCCCGGGGCGUAAUGCCCUCGCGGGGACCGAGGUUCGCGCAUCUGCAAGGAUGCUGGCGUAAUGGUCAUCAGCGACCCGUCUUGAAACACGGACCAAGGAGUCAAGGUUUUGCGCGAGUGUUUGGGUGUAAAACCCGCACGCGUAAUGAAAGUGAACGUAGGUGAGAGCUUCGGCGCAUCAUCGACCGAUCCUGAUGUUUUCGGAUGGAUUUGAGUAGGAGCGUUAAGCCUUGGACCCGAAAGAUGGUGAACUAUGCUUGGAUAGGGUGAAGCCAGAGGAAACUCUGGUGGAGGCUCGCAGCGGUUCUGACGUGCAAAUCGAUCGUCAAAUCUGAGCAUGGGGGCGAAAGACUAAUCGAACCAUCUAGUAGCUGGUUACCGCCGAA